CCUACGGGAGGCAGCAGUGAGGAAUAUUGGUCAAUGGCCGGAAGGCUGAACCAGCCAAGUCGCGUGAGGGAAUAAGGUCCUAUGGGUCGUAAACCUCUUUUGUCAGGGAGCACAGGCGUCCACGUGUGGACGAGAGGAGAGUACCUGAAGAAAAAGCAUCGGCUAACCCCGUGCCAGCAGCCGCGGUAAUACGGAGGAUGGGAGCGUUAUCCGGUUUUAUGGGGUUGAAAGGGUGCGUAGGCGGAGGGUCAAGCCAGCGGUAAAAUUUCGGGGCUCAACCCCGUCGUGCCGUUGAAACUGACGCCCUUGAGUGAGUGAGAAGUAAGCGGAAUGCGUGGUGUAGCGGUGAAAUGCAUAGAUAUCACGAGGAACCCCGAUUGCGAAGGCAGCCUGCCGGGGUGCGACUGACGCUGAGGCUCGAAGGUGCGGGUAUCAAACAGGAUUAGAUACCCCAGUAGUC
rnacentral:rRNA from 1 species